UUGCCAGAUACAAUGGAAACUGGCUGGAGUUUUAAUGAGAUCUCAUCGGAACUUGGGUAGGUCCAUUACUCAACACUGUCUGAAGAGAAAAAUAUCCUCCUGAAAAGAAGAAUAUAGGCAGCUGAUGCCUCAGUGAGAAUAUGAGAAAUGUAGUAUAGGUGAAAACAUUGAAAGACUGCCUGCACUGAGAAAAACAAUAUGGAUAUGGACAAGAAAAAUUGUCACUGGAGUGGAAGGAGAGCUCCUGAAAGCAUUGUUUCUAAGAAGAACAGUUUCCUCACGAGUGAGAAAACCUCCAAUAAUUCUUCUGAGAUGAUUUCUCCAUACUUUUCAUCUUUUACUGCAAAAGGGAUUGCCAGAGAACUACUUAAGAAAGAAAUGUAGAUAAGCAACAAGGAAGAAGGGAAGGGAGAGGAAGGGAACGGAAGGGAAAGAAAGAUAGAAACUAUUUUCUUUUUUUGUCAAACACAAACAACAGCAAGAGCAGCUGUAAACUUUCAGAGAGAAACAACUAUGUAAAUCUGCAAAAUUUCUAACACUUGUAUAAGUGCAGAAGUAUAAGUCUCUUCCAAUCCUUAAGAUUCUGUGAUUCUGUGAUUGAAACACCAGUUACCUGAUGCAUAGAUGACUGGUUAUAAAUUUUAAAGUUUGUGAUAAUAUUAACAACAACAAAAAAGUGUCUGGCAAUAGUAAACUGAGACCUAAACAUGCACAUAUGAUGCAUGUUAGCAAUCAUAACAACAAAAACAAUAUGCUUUCUCCCUUACAUUCAUUGACUCUUUUUUUUACCCUUACUAUUCAGCAUGUCAGAGGGCAGAGCUGAGGAUGAGUUUUUCAAGCUAUUUUUAAGCACAAAUCAGAAUUUGGAAGAAAUUUACUAGGGCAAUUAGGAAAUAACACAUUGAAACCUUUCCUGCCAUGAAGGAAAAGCUCCUGGAGCUGUCACCCUCUCUGCUUUGUAGCUCCCAGUAUCCUCCUGUCCAUCAGAUACCUGAUGGACAGUUUCUGGGCUGCUUCCCACAGUAUUUGCAGCCAGCGAGUGGGAGAGAACACUCUGGCUGCAUCUGAGCCUCUUCUUCAUGAUAUGGAAAGUGAGAGGCUGGUAAUCAGGGAAGCUUCCCAGGAUGCUUUUAAGAAAAAUAUAAACUAUGCAGUCCAGGUUCAUAAAUCCUUUACU